CUGCACGAACCGCCCGCUCCCCUUCCUUAUCUUCUUCUGCGCAAGCACAACCACCAGUUAGUUAUCCCCUCGUUUUCCUACUUUUUCUUCAUGCACCGCUUCUUUUUUCCCCAAGCUCGCUGAUCUCGCCAUGGCUGCCAAUUUUUUCUGCUGCGCGAGAGAGCACCCACCAGAGGGGCGCCGCCGUUAGGGGCUGUCGCUGCUCGCACCAAUCAAGGGUUGCAGCCACGAUGCCGUCCCGUCGUUGUUGCGGAGCCAAGAACGGGGGCGCGGUGCCCCGGGGCUGCCAUUGAUGCAAGCCAAGCACAAGAGAUGCGACGGCCAUGGAGGGGAUGUUGGAUGCGUGUUGCAACCGGCUGGCAGAGGAGCUGGGACCGGCGAGGCGAGAAGCUGCAAGCACUUUUCGACCGGUUCUGGAACCAGACGGUGCGAGAUCAUUUUUGCGGGGACCGGCGACAAUUUUUGCUGAAACCGGUAAGAGUUUUUGCUGGCACUGUCAAGAUAUUUUGUUGCGAUCGGCGGAGAUGACACAUUUUUGCUGGAACUAUAUUAAUUUUUGCUGGAACCGGCAAAUGAUUUUGCUGCGGCGGCGACUUCUGGAGAUUUUGGUUGCUUGAGAUUAUUUGCUGUGACUAGGCAGCCUCGAAGCAUUUUUGCUAGAACCGGCAAAUGAUUUUGCUACGGUGGCAACUUCCGGAGUUUUUUGUUGCUUGAGAUUAUUUGUUACGACUUGGCGGCGGCGACGCAUUUUGUGCUGGAAUCGUGUAAAUUUUUAGCUUCAAGCGAUUUACUGAGUUUGCUAGUUGCUCAGGCCAUUUUGCUGGAAAUUGCUAUUUUUUUUGCUGGAACCAGUUUUUGGCUUUGCUGGAACUGACGACUGGAGUUCUUUUUUUGUUGAGAUGUGUUUUUCGCUUGAAUCCGGUGGUGCAGGUCGGCGGUGGCGGCAAUCCAAAGGUGGAAACGCUGUGCUACAGUGGGCAGCGCGGGUUGCUGGAACCGAAGUUUGAUAGAGCUGCAUCCAUGGUGGUGGUGAUGGAAUGACGACGAGGCAAGGAAGGCGUGUGACGACGGCGAAUCGGCGGAGAGGCGGAGAUCUGGCGGGUCAGGUCGCUCGUCCAUGGCUUUCGCGCCCGCUGUGUGUGCUCGCAUGAUUUGCAGUGGGGAAAAAGAAAGGAAAGGUGUGCCAGGGAUGAAAAGUGUUUUGAAUCUGAUGGUUAAAGGGGCAUUAAUCGAACGUCGACCGACCCAAAUUUGAGCUGGCGCACCGGCCCUAUGAGUCGCCAAUAGGAAUUGCCAUUUGGCGCAUAGAUCACGGGAUAGCGUCAUGACACGUACCAUUAUGUUUUUUUCAUCAGUUUUGGCAAGGUAGCAGAACCUUCUUGAAUCAGUUUUUUUCUCCUUUUAUUUGUUUUUUCUUCUGGGUUUUUAUUUCUUUUAACUUUUUCAUUUUCAUUUUCAUUUUAGUUUCCUAUUCCGUUUUCCUUUUUCUUUCUUUCUUGUCUUUUUAUUCCGUUUUCUAUUCCAUUUCUUGAAUCAGCUAUAAAUUACAUUUCUGAAGGUUGCUCUUAAAAAUUCAAAUGAACACAUGUAUUUUAUAAUUUUAUUGCUUUUUAAUUGUUUUGCGAAGUGUCUUAUAAUAAACACUCAUCAAAGAACCU
rnacentral:lncRNA from 1 species